UUGCAGCCACAUAGUAUUUGGGCUUAAUAAUUUUGGGCCUAUAUGAGAAGGAAUAGGAUUUGCUGAGCACAAAACAAAUCAGAUCCCAUUCGUUCGUUCACGCCAUUCGUUUCACAAAAGAUGCCGACAGCCGCCGCUUUAACCCUCGCACUCCGCCAUGUCAACCGCCGCCUUCCGAUGCAUUGGCUUGGGGGCGUCCGUGUCUCUUCCUCCGUAGGCGCAAACCCCAAUCAUGCUUCCUCUUUCCGCUUCCCUCGGCGGCGAUCAUCGACCUUCGCUCCUUCCUCCACUGGCGCCAUCUAUUUCAAUCCCUUCGAUUUCCCUUCUCAGGGUGAACAUGAACCUUAACCUGAAGACGAAAGGCUCAAUCUCGAUCGCUAUCGCAAUUCUGAAACGAAAGUCAGAGAUCUGUUCGAAAGCUGGUGCAGGAAAUAUCACAAAACAUACUCUUCGGAAGAACAGAAACUCUUCAGGUUCAAUGCCUUCAAGAAAACUCUUGAAGGCGCCACCUACGAAAACCAGCUGACCAUUUAUGCUGAUAUAACCUCAGAGGAAUGGGAGGAAAUGAACCUUCUAAGCCCUUCAUACAGUCCCGAUUCGGAUCGUCUCCGUUCUUCCGAAGUUGAAAACCGCAAUCCCAAUCCCGAUGGCAGCUAUUUCCAUUCUGAAACUGAAGCCAGAGAAUUGUUUGAAAUCUGGUGCAAGCAAUAUCACAAAACAUACAAUUCAGAAGAAGAGAAACUCUACAGGUUCGGUGUCUUCAAGAAAACUCAUGAAUGGUGCGUCCGUGAAAACCAGAAGCAUGCUGACCCACAAUCUCGAAGCUUAGGCACCAAUGGUUAUGCUGAUCUAACCAUGGACGAAAAUAUGGAAUUCUAUGGGGCUGGUCCGUGGAGGCCUUUGGAGCAUUAUUGAAGCUGUUACCUGUAUAAGCCACAAUCUUGGGAGCUUGUUAGUUAGUACUGUAGUCCUUAAUCUUAUUUUCAGUUUUAAUGUUAUUUUACAUGUAUUGUGUCUGACUUGGGAGAACUUUUAGUGUGUUUAUUGGCUGCUUUAUGUACCUUGCAGUUUGUUAGCUAGUUUGAACCCUGUUUGUGAAUGAAGGGAGUGCUUGAAUUUCAACUAACCCAUACUUAAAAUAGUGCUUUAUAGAGUAGAGACUUUGGAAGUUUGAUACUUUCUGGAACACGAUCAAACCUUUUAAGGUAGGAUAGAUAGUCUGUGGAGAUUGCAGGAAAGGUUGUGGUUGAGGUUC